ACUACGGGGUGCAGCAGUGGGGAAUAUUGGGCAAUGGAGGCAACUCUGACCCAGCAACGCCGCGUGAAUGAUGAAGGUCUUCGGAUUGUAAAGUUCUGUGAUGGGGGAUGAACACAAUGACGGUACCCCAAUAGCAAGCCACGGCUAACUACGUGCCAGCAGCCGCGGUAAUAAGUAGGUGGCAAGCGUUAUCCGGAAUGACUGGGCGUAAAGGGUGCGUAGGUGGUUUAGUAAGUUGGCGGUGUAAUUCCGGGGCUCAACCUCGGCGCUACCGCCAAAACUAUUAGACUAGAGUGCAGGAGGGGUAAGUGGAAUUCCUAGUGUAGCGGUGGAAUGCGUAGAUAUUAGGAGGAACAUCAGGGGCGAAGGCGACUUACUGGACUGUAACUGACACUGAGGCACGAAAGCGUGGGGAGCAAACAGGAUUAGAUACCCCAGUAGUC
rnacentral:rRNA from 1 species